rnacentral:rRNA from 1 species
GAUGAACGCUGGCGGCGUGCCUAAUACAUGCAAGUCGAGCGAACGGACGAGAAGCUUGCUUCUCUGAUGUUAGCGGCGGACGGGUGAGUAACACGUGGAUAACCUACCUAUAAGACUGGGAUAACUUCGGGAAACCGGAGCUAAUACCGGUUAAUAUUUUGAACCGCAUGGUUCAAAAGUGAAAGACGGUCUUGCUGUCACUUAUAAAUGGAUCCGCGCUGCAUUAGCUAGUUGGUAAGGUAACGGCUUACCAAGGCAACGAUGCAUAGCCGACCUGAGAGGGUGAUCGGCCACACUGGAACUGAGACGCGGUCCAGACUCCUACGGGAGGCAGCAGUAGGGAAUCUUCCGCAAUGGGCGAAAGCCUGACGGAGCAACGCCGCGUGAGUGAUGAAGGUCUUCGGAUCGUAAAACUCUGUUAUUAGGGAAGAACAUAUGUGUAAGUAACUGUGCACAUCUUGACGGUACCUAAUCAGAAAGCCACGGCUAACUACGUG